rnacentral:rRNA from 1 species
AGGACGAACGCUGGCGGCGUGCCUAACACACGCAAGUCGAGCGAGGAGAUCCUCGGGAUGAUCCUAGCGGCGGACGGGUGAGUAACACGUGGGCAACCUGCCUCAUAGAGAGGAAUAGCCUUCCGAAAGGGAGAUUAAUACCUCAUAACAUUGCAGUUUCGCAUGGAACAGCAAUUAAAGGAGUAAUCCGCUAUGAGAUGGGCCCGCGGCGCAUUAGCUAGUUGGUGAGGUAACGGCUCACCAAGGCGACGAUGCGUAGCCGACCUGAGAGGGUGAUCGGCCACAUUGGGACUGAGACACGGCCCAGACUCCUACGGGAGGCAGCAGUGGGGAAUAUUGCACAAUGGGGGAAACCCUGAUGCAAGCAACGCCGCGUGAGUGAUGACGGCCUUCGGGUUGUAAAGCUCUGUCUUCAGGGACGAUAAUGACGGUACCUGAGGAGGAAGCCACGGCUAACUACGUGCCAGCCGCUGC